AGCUUUCUGAAUCCAUGCAGAGAUUUCGUCAGACACCGACCCAAUAGGAUUGAUCAGACUUCCAAGAUUAGUUAAGUU
rfam:Schistosoma mattheei strain Denwood, Zambia genome assembly, scaffold: SMTD_contig0001110